UAGCGGCAGGCUAAUACAUGCAAGUCGAACGUAUUUUCCAGCUUGCUGGAAGAGAAAGUGGCGCACGGGUGCGUAACGCGUAUGCAACCUACCUUUAUCAGGGGGAUAGCCCGGAGAAAUCCGGAUUAAUACCGCAUAAAAUAGCAUUAUCAAACAAGGGGACCUUUAGGCCUUUGGGAUAAAGAUGGGCAUGCGUGUCAUUAGCUAGUUGGCGGGGUAACGGCCCACCAAGGCGACGAUGACUAGGGGAUCUGAGAGGAUGACCCCCCACACUGGUACUGAGACACGGACCAGACUCCUACGGGAGGCAGCAGUAAGGAAUAUUGGUCAAUGGAGGCAACUCUGAACCAGCCAUGCCGCGUGCAGGAAGACUGCCUAUGGGUUGUAAACUGCUUUUAUCCGGGAAUAACCUCUGCUAGUUGUGAACUAGCAGAGCUGAAUGUACCGGAAGAAUAAGGAUCGGCUAACUCCGUGCCAGCAGCCGCGGUAAUACGGAGGAUCCAAGCGUUAUCCGGAUUUAUUGGGUUUAAAGGGUGCGUAGGCGGCCUGUUAAGUCAGGGGUGAAAGACGGUAGCUCAACUAUCGCAGUGCCCUUGAUACUGAUGGGCUUGAAUGGACUAGAGGUAGGCGGAAUGAGACAAGUAGCGGUGAAAUGCAUAGAUAUGUCUCAGAACACCGAUUGCGAAGGCAGCUUACUAUGGUCUUAUUGACGCUGAGGCACGAAAGCGUGGGGAUCAAACAGGAUUAGAUACCCUGGUAGUCCACGCCCUAAACGAUGAACACUCGCUGUUGGCGUCAUACACGGAGUCAGCGGCUAAGCGAAAGCGUUAAGUGUUCCACCUGGGGAGUACGCCCGCAAGGGUGAAACUCAAAGGAAUUGACGGGGGCCCGCACAAGCGGAGGAGCAUGUGGUUUAAUUCGAUGAUACGCGAGGAACCUUACCCGGGCUUGAAAGUUAGUGAAUGAUCUAGAGAUAGAUCAGUGGAGCAAUCAACACGAAACUAGGUGCUGCAUGGCUGUCGUCAGCUCGUGCCGUGAGGUGUUGGGUUAAGUCCCGCAACGAGCGCAACCCCUAUGUUUAGUUGCCAGCAUGUAAAGGUGGGGACUCUAAACAGACUGCCUGUGACAAACAGGAGGAAGGAGGGGACGACGUCAAGUCAUCAUGGCCCUUACGUCCGGGGCUACACACGUGCUACAAUGGACGGUACAGAGGGCAGCUACAUAGCAAUAUGAUGCGAAUCUCACAAAGCCGUUCACAGUUCGGAUUGGGUCUGCAACUCGACCCCAUGAAGUUGGAUUCGCUAGUAAUCGCGUAUCAGCAAUGACGCGGUGAAUACGUUCCCGGGCCUUGU
rnacentral:rRNA from 1 species